CCUACGGGCGGCAGCAGUGGGGGAUAUUGCACAAUGGGGGAAACCCUGAUGCAGCGACGCCGCGUGUGGGAAGACGGUCCUCUGGAUUGUAAACCACUGUCCCCAGGGACGAAGAUGACGGUACCUGGGGAGGAAGCUCCGGCUAACUACGUGCCAGCAGCCGCGGUAAGAAGUAGGGAGCGAGCGUUGUCCGGAAUUACUGGGUGUAAAGGGAGCGGAGGCGGGACUGCAAGUUGGGUGUCAAAUCUACCGGCUCAACCGGUAGCCGCACUCAAAACUGCAGUUCUUGAGGGAAGUAGAGGCAGGCGGAAUUCCUAGUGUAGCGGUGAAAUGCGUAGAUAUUAGGAGGAACACCAGUGGCGAAGGCGGCCUGCUGGGCUUUUACUGACGCUGAGGCUCGAAAGUGUGGGGAGCAAACAGGAUUAGAUACCCUAGUAGUC
rnacentral:rRNA from 1 species